ensembl:lncRNA
AUGCAUGACACGUAGUAGGUGCUCUGUGUAUUUCUGGUAGUAGGUGAGGAGGCUGUUUGGCUACUACCUGGUUUCAUCUAGGAAACUGAGGGCUAAGUUCUGGGUUCCUCUGCAGUGACUGUCCAUUCUUAGGUUUCUUUUCCCAGGACAUUUUAAAAUCCUCACUUCUUUAUCCGUUCUUGUUCUUUCAUGGGUAUUUGGAUGGUUCUGUUAUAUCUGUGUCUUUUUAAUUUAAUUUAUUUAUUUAGAGACAGUGUCUCACUCUGGUGCACAGGCUAGACUAUAGUUGCAUGAUCAUAGCUCACUGCAGCCUCAAACUCCUGGGAUCAAGGGGUCUUCCCGCCUUAGCCCUCCCAGUAGCUGUGACUACAGGCCCGUGCCAGCAUGCCUGGCUAAUUUUUAAAUUUUUUGUAAAGAUGGUGUCUCACUAACUCCCCAGGCUGGUCUGGAACUCCUGAACUGAAGCUAUCCUCUUGACUUGGCCUCCCAAAAUGCUGGAAUUACAGGCAUAGGCCACUGUACCUGGUGAUCUGUGUCUUAUAUGAUGUGCCUGAGACAGGUUUGACCUGGCAACUGAAAAGACAUCCCUGAGAGAAGACAAAGCUCAGGUGUGAAAGGAAUGUGCAUCCCAGCUGACCAGGUGGAACAGAGCUGCCUGCUGUCUGGAACUGCGUCCUCCCAGACUAAAGAGAUGGAGGUCUUGCAGCUGGGCAUGGUGGCUCACACCUGUAAUCCCGCCACUUUGGGGGCCCAAGGCAGAUGGAUCACCUGAGGUCAGGAGUUCGAGACCAGCCUGACCAACAUGGUAAAACCCUGUCUCUAUUAAAAAUACAAAAAUUAGCCCAGUGUGGUGGUGCGUGCCUGUAAUCCAAGCUACUCCAGUGGCUGAGGCAGGAUUAUCGCUUGAACCUAGGAGGCAGAGGUUGCAGUGAGCUGAGAUCAUGCCAUUGCACUCUAGGCUGGGCAGCAAGAGUAAAACUGUCUAAAAAAAAAAAAAGAGAGAGAGAGAGAGAGAGAGAUGGGGAACUUGCUAUGUUAUCCAGGCAGGUCUUGAACUCCUGGGUUCAAGCAAUCCUUCCACCUCAGCCUUCCAAGUAGCUAGAGACUAUGGGCCCAUGCCACCAGGCCUGGCUCUAUCUCGUAACUAUUAACUCAUCUACUCUUUUUACCACCAGAUGAAGUAGGAGUUACUGUUACUCACUUUUUUUUUUUUUUUGAGACAGAGUCUUGCUCUGUUGCCAGGCUGGAAUGCAGUGGCACAAUCUUGGCUCACUGUAACCUCUGCCUCCUGGGUUUAAGCGAUUCUCCUGCCUCAGCCUCCCAAGUAGCUGAGACUACAGGCACCCUCUACCAUGCCCAGCUGAUUUUUGUAUUUUUAGUAGAGACAGAGUUUCACCAUAUUGGCCAGGAUAGUCUUGAUCUCCUGACCUCGUGAUCCGCUGGCCUCAUCCUCCCAAAGCGCUGGGAUUAUAGGCAUGAGCCACCGCACCCAGCCUGUUAUUCACAUUUUUAAGAAGAGGAAGCUGAGGCAUAGUAAUCAAGUAUCUUGCCCAAGGUUGUGCAGCCAGCAGGUGGUAGAGCAGGGAUCGUGAGCCCAGCCCCAGCAUCUGUGUAUAACCACUUCACCAGGUGGGCACAUGAUGACUACACUUGAGACUCUAGUUUGUUUGUCUGGUGCCCCCCCUUCCACCUGCCUCCCUCAGACUUUACGGCCCAUUGGAAAAAGCAAGCCAGGGCUGUGGCUCCCAGGGUGACGAUCCUUCAGCUGCCUCCUUGGCACUGUCAUUCUCUCCUUCCAUCUCUUGCCAAGGGCUGCAGCCGGGAAUUCCACAGACGGUUUGCCAUGGAUCAAGAUUUCUCCCGAGAAAGAGCUCACAGGAAGGCUGCAGUGAGAAAUGAAGUCACUUGCUACUCCCCUUAUUUCUCCAUCAGGAGGAUGAAGUCACCGCACAUUUGAGUGGGUGCUAUCAAAGCGUAGCCUCUGGCCAGCAUGGAGACAAACGUGGGCUGUGUGGCCCAUGGCUGAGUGGCUGC